UACGUAGGGUCCGAGCGUUUGUCCGGAUUUAUUGGGCGUAAAGAGCUCGUAGGCGGUUUCGUAAGUCGGAUGUGAAAACUCAGGGCUCAACCCGGAGACGCCAUCCGAUACUGCGAUGACUGGAGUCUGGUAGGGGAUCACGGAAUACCUGGUGUAGCGGUGAAAUGCGCAGAUAUCAGGUGGAACACCGAUGGCGAAGGCAGUGAUCUGGGCCAGUACUGACGCUGAGGAGCGAAAAGCGUGGGGAGCAAACAGG
rnacentral:rRNA from 1 species